rnacentral:rRNA from 1 species
GACGAACGCUGGCGGCGUGCUUAACACAUGCAAGUCGAGCGGUAAGGCCCUUUCGGGGGUACGACGAGCGGCGAACGGGUGAGUAACACGUGGGUGACCUGCCCUUAGCUCUGGGAUAAGCCUGGGAAACUGGGUCUAAUACCGGAUAUGACUCCAUGACGCAUGUUGUGGGGUGGAAAGCCUUGUGCGGCUAGGGAUGGGCCCGCGGCCUAUCAGCUUGUUGGUGGGGUGAUGGCCUACCAAGGCGACGACGGGUAGCCGGCCUGAGAGGGCGACCGGCCACACUGGGACUGAGACACGGCCCAGACUCCUACGGGAGGCAGCAGUGGGGAAUCUUGCGCAAUGGGCGAAAGCCUGACGCAGCGACGCCGCGUGAGGGAUGACGGCCU